UAGGAGCACGGCUCUGCUCAUGGUGACAGGGGACAGAGGGGACUGGAGCUGUCUGUGCCCCAAGCACAUCCGUCACCCCACCGUGGGGUUGAUGACCUUGGAGCACCCGUCACUGUUGCAUCCCUGUGUGCUUGGGCAGAGGGAAAAACCUCAGGAGAUGCCCCCUGCACCAGCCCGCAGGUCCCUGCGGACACCAGCCAUGCCCGGACAGCUCUGCGGAAACCCGGCUUGUCCCCGAAGCAUUCGUGGUGUGACCGAAGGGGACACGGAGAACACCCCUGGACUCCAUAGGUGCGUCACCCACCAGCUCUUCUGCAGCCCCAAGCCAUUCCCCGGAGCUCGGGGUUGUCUGCACGGAGCCAAGGACUCGGGGCUGGGAUGCCGAGAGCGCAUGUGAAAUGAUCUUCAAAACUACGGCAGCGCCCAGGAACAUCGCUGGACCCUGAAAACGAUGCUGAGGGUGCCUCGUACGACCGAAAGGUGUCAAAUCCCGCACGGUGACUCCAGGGGGCACAUCAGCCCCGGCCUGGCCCUGCUGUCCCACCACGUUCCACCUUCCAGCAGAAACCUCCGGUGCUGGGGUCCAGCCCCUUCGAGGGUGCGUUGAAUUUUAAGAAGGAAAAAGCUGAGGUAUUACAAAGCCUAAGGAUUUGUCACCAGUUGUGCACUCAGACAUCCACAUUUUGCAGUCUCAGCUUUAUUCUUUGGAGAGCUUUGGAAAAGGGGGUACAGGAUAAAACGUUUUCUGAAAUACUAUCUCGGACAUCUAAAGGAACCAUAUUCCUACCCCUUUGGCUUUAAUUUCCAGCAUUGCUCCAGUGACCACAAGCCCAGAACAAUAUUGUCGCUUGGCUCAAUUUGAAGGAAGCUUUGAAUCUGAGGUUCCUGGUACUCCUGCCCUCACCCCGUGUGAGAACAGCGAUGGCAGCAGGUGAUGGAGCCAGCUGGAAUUCAGCAGGCCCAUAAAGCUGAGAAACUGAAAGAAUAAAAUUAUGAUUCAUAAGAAGUCAAAAGGCACUUUACAGAGAGACAAGAGUGGUCCCAGCACCCGAACCCCAUCCUGUCGGGUGUUCACAUCCCGGCUGCCGUUGCCUGCACAGGACCCUGUGCUUUGCUUGCAACAGAAGGGCAAGAGCAGGCUGGUCGCUUGGGAAUUCAAAGAUUUAAUGGUCAGCGGGUUUAACUGUGGCACUUAGUUACAAAACGCAACGAUUACACGGUGCAGGAACACAUGCAAAUCCUUGCAGUCCAACCCAGCUGGAUUAAACCUUAAAAUAAAGGAAACCCAACCAUCUGCAAGGGCCGGACCCGCGGGUCUCUGCUGGGGGGCAGGUUGUGCUUCACCACGUGCCCUGAGCCGGGGCUCAGCACCGCGGCCGGGCUGCAGGAUGGGCACACGGGUAACUCCCAGUAACUCAAGGGGGAUGAUGUGAAUUGUACAGCAAGCCUUGCCUGCACUCCUGAGUAUGGCUGUUAUUAUGUUUGCCAUCAAUAUUCGUGAAGUCUUCUUAAAAAAAUAAAAAAGCAGCAGCGAAAAUUUUGCUCUAAACCAGAGAACUGUGGUAUCUUCUGGCAGCGCCCAUAGAAGCAGCAGUUUUCUCCUGGUAUAUUUUCACUGUGUAUUUCUCGGAGUGUUGUCCUGAGUUACGAGGACAGUUAUUGAAAAUAGCAAAUUGUCUUGAUACUGCACAUCAUCAUUGUUAUGCUUGGCCACUUCAGGAAAUCAGUUGGUCUUGAUUAACAAUUUGGGUUUUUCCAGCCUAGAUGACCCCUAUGUAUAAGCAAACAUAUAACUUUAGAAGAAAGAGUUGCAUAAAAGCCUCCUUGUCGUUUGUGCGGUGCUUUAUUUGGGUGGACGCACCAAUACACCAAGUGCCAAAAGCCAAAAUUCUGCAGGGUUUUUCCCCCGUUACUGCUGUAAGGGUAUCUUGUCUUUUAUACCUGUCACAGCACCACUUGUUAGCCCUUCCCAGGCAGCGCGCUGAUUCGCACAAACGACUGUAGGUGUUUUGCAGGUCAGUGGGGCAGCGAGGGGCGAGGAGGAGGAGGGUGUGCGUGCCGCACCGCCAGGCUGCCCGUGCCGCUGCCGGCCAGGGCUGUGCCGCUGGCACCGCGGAGGCUGCUCUGCCUCUGAUUAAAGCCAGCAGAGGGGAAAGAACGGGCAGAAGUGGGCCCGUGCCUUCUGUCGCCGCCUCCAGCCGCGGCCCCGCAGCAGCCUGCCAACAGGGCACCGCUCUGCCAGUUGUAAAUUUUAAUUGGCCAUCUGGGGAAAGCACAAACCACUGACUAGAGAUUAAUCAGUAAAUUAACCCAGGCAUAAUACACAUUUCCCAGCGGGGCCCGGGCUGCUGGAGGCUGGGGCGGAGCAGGCGGGGAUGCGGGAGGACCGGGGCAGGGAUGCUGUUAUUGCUUACUGCCGAACAUCUUCCCCGCGUCCCGAAAUUCCCUUCGGCGUGACCUUGGCAGUGCCCCUGAUUUGUAUGGCAGGUGCAGAGAGGUUUCCCUGCGAGCGCUCGACACAGAUGGCACAGGUACGGCUGCCGCCGCAGGAAGGCUUGAUGGAUCAGUGGAUGUGACAACUUCCCUCUGGUGAGCUGUUGGCUCGGCACCGCCGUGAGGAACAGUCAUACCUGCGGCUGUGCCCGCUGCCAUCGCAGGGCUCGGCCUUUAAACAGGGCUGGGGAGAAAGGAGCAUCACCAAUGCCGUGGGGCGCAAGCUGUCCUGUCCAAUGUUAUCAUUCUACAUUUUAAGAACGACACCCACACCCCAGCCUUCCCAAGCCCCAUCCCUAGUUAGUGUUCUGGUUAGCAAUGAGAUCAAGCUUAUCUUUAUAGAUAUCUGAUCGACUGAAUAAAAGCAAGCGCUGCGCUGGGUGAAUGGCACCCACACACUCCGGCUCUUAAUUUCCCCAGGACAGAAACCUUUGCCCAGUUAGUAAAGUGCUUCGGGAUAUUUGCAGAAAACACGUCUGUCACAGCUUGCUGCCGGCGGGGCCAGAACG